rnacentral:lncRNA from 1 species
AUUCACUGUAAGAAUAGAAUAUGCAUCUAGAUAAAAUCUAUCAAGCUUAAUAAAAAGAAGUAGUCCUAUAAGAUUUGAGAGGCUAAGUCUGUAAGUUUAUGGCCACAGCAGUGUGAUUGAUGAAAAUUUUUUUUUAUGAGAAUCAUAAUUGAACUUGAAAUCAAAUCUAUCAUAUAACUGAUGAUGAGAUUUGAUGAUUUAUCCAUGAUCUGCCAUCU